UACGAAGGGGGCUAGCGUUGUUCGGAAUUACUGGGCGUAAAGCGCGUGUAGGCGGGUCUUUUAAGUCAGGGGUGAAAUGCCCAAGGCUCAACCUUGGAACUGCCUUUGAUACUGGAGACCUUGAGUCCGGGAGAGGUGAGUGGAAUUGCGAGUGUAGAGGUGAAAUUCGUAGAUAUUCGCAAGAACACCAGUAGCGAAGGCGGCUCACUGGCCCGGAACUGACGCUGAGACGCGAAAGCUAGGGGAGCGAACAGG
rnacentral:rRNA from 1 species